rnacentral:lncRNA from 1 species
GGAACAGUACCUUGCUGGAUAAUUGGAAAGUCCCUGUGUGUCAACCUCUGUGCUUCGUGGCAAGGUAGACUAGCAAACAUGCCCAACCUUUACUCACAUUCGAGAAAACACUUUGCUUGCUCCAAAAUCGAAGAGGCACCGCCCUCCCGAAUCUCGAGAGCCAGACUCCCAACAUGAUUACUUUCUCAAAAAUCGAAGAGACACUGCUCCACGAAUCUCGAGAGCCAGACCCCCAGCAUGAUUGCUUUCUCAAAAAUUGAUGAGGCAUCGUUCUCCGAAUCAAUCGAAGAGGCGCUCGCUUUCUCAAAAGCUGGGCUGCUCAGAGACCACGAGGGCCGAUCUCAGAAAUCGAAGAGGCACCUACUUUUCUAGCCUUGUCAGCACCUGUCACACGCACACUCAGCUUUGCAGAAAUUAUGGGCAUUCUGUCGAAGACUUCUGGUGAAGUAGAAAGCACAUGAAUCUUACUAUUCAAUCACCCACUUCCCACACGUAACAAUAGCUCAUGGGUACCACAAAUAACUUUGCCAAAGUUCUCUGCCAAAGUUGAGCACGUGAAGCUUACAGCUCCCACUACAUCGCUCUGACCAAGAAAGGUAAAAGAAUAGCAAAGAAACAGCACUAACAAAAGUUUAGACACACAUAAAUUUUGAAGGUCUAGCUACCAUAUUAUUACCCACAAGGGUAAAGGAACAGUACCACUGCUGGAUAAUUGGAAAGUCCCUGUGUGUCAACCUCUGUGCUUCGUGGCAAGGUAGACUAGCAAGCAUGCCCAACCUUUACUCACAUUCGAGAAAACACUCCCAAUAAGAUUGCUUGCUCCAAAAUCGAAGAGGCACCGUCCUCCGAAUCUCGAGAGCCAGACUCCCCCAACAUGACUACUUUCUCAAAAUCGAAGAGAGGGUAAAGGAACAGUACCAUUGCUGGAUAAUUGGAAAGUC